GACGAACGCUGGCGGCGUGCUUAACACAUGCAAGUCGAACGGAAAGGCCUGUCCUUCCUUGUGUUGGACGGGUACUCGAGUGGCGAACGGGUGAGUAACACGUGAGUGAUCUGCCCCCAACUUGGGUAUAAGCCUGGGAAACUGGGUCUAAUUCCCGAUAGGACUGCAGGGUGGUGCCUGUGGUGGAAAACGAUUUUCUAGUGGUUGGGGAUGAGCUCGCGGCCUAUCAGCUUGUUGGUGGGGUAAUGGCCUACCAAGGCGGCGACGGGUAGCCGGCCUGAGAGGGUGGACGGCCACAUUGGGACUGAGAUACGGCCCAGACUCCUACGGGAGGCAGCAGUGGGGAAUAUUGCACAAUGGGCGGAAGCCUGAUGCAGCGACGCCGCGUGGGGAAUGACGGCCUUCGGGUUGUAAACUCCUUUCGACCGCGAGGAAGCCGCCUGGUUGGAAGGGUGGUGACGGUAGUGGUAGAAGAAGCACCGGCUAACUACGUG
rnacentral:rRNA from 1 species